rnacentral:sRNA from 1 species
CUCAUCUCGAAGAGGGGGGGGGUGAGAAUCCUCGCCGGGUUCGAGCAGAGCAGCUUGCUGCGAUGAACGGCCGCAGGCCGCCCCGAAGGGGUGAAUCAUCCCUCCCUCACCGCCA